UGGAGAAGGAAAUGGCAACCCACUCCAGUGUUCUUACCUGGAGAAUCCCAGGGACGGGGGAGCCUGGUGGGCUGCCGUCUAUGGGGUCACACAGAGUUGGACACGACUGAAGUGACUUAGCAGCAGCAGCAGAGGACUAUUCAGAUCCCCAGGUUACAGAGGAGGAAACUGAGGCUCAGGAGGGUGGGGCCUCUGAGAACCUCUGAGGAUCCUCACUCCAUAAAGGGCUGACCCUGUCCCCAGGCAGGAUGGGAACCACAGGUGUGGUGGCCAAGUCCCCUUCACUUCAUUGCAAGAAGUGGCUGGAUCCUGUCCCACCCAGCACUGGGCCUCGCCCUGCUGCUCUGGAGGGUAUGAGGACCCUCCAAGCUGUGUGUACUCUCCGAGUGACUGUCCAAGAGGAGUCCAUCCAGAGCUUAAGCCAAGGCUGUGGGCAAAGGAUGCACUGGAUCGUCAGGGAAAUUUUGCCCAAGAUUCUGUCAGAUCAGAUGGGAAGAAGUUCAAACCUGACUCUAGAACCUGCAGACUGUGCUACUUCUGAAAAUACAAUCAGAACACUCCAGACAAGAGAAGAAUCAUGAUCAAAGACAUGGAAAGCAGCACUCAGUUCUGUGAACUUGGAGCAUCAUCCUCUGAGAAGCUGCAGAAGGGAGAAUUGAUGGAACAAGAGUUAAAGAAAGAGGUAAGGCCAGGUAAAUAAAUAAUUCGUGAUUUUAUUAGAAUUUUUAUGA
rnacentral:lncRNA from 1 species